rnacentral:lncRNA from 1 species
UUAGGCAUGUAUUGCUCAGCACCAGGUCUUUCACAGCCCUCUGGAUUUUGCUAUUCAGGUUAUCAUUGUGCCAAGGGAGCCAUCAGCCCAACCCCUUUCAAACACAGGGUGGAAUUUGCUGGCCCAGUGUUGCCUGGUAAUGAUAUCUGUCCUGCAGGGCAUUUCUGCCCCAAUGGAACCGAGAAUCCCAUGCCCUGCCCUCCUGGGUCCUUCUCUGCUGCCAGGGGCCUGCAGGCAGAAGAGCAGUGCCAGCCCUGCCCCGCUGGCCGAUAUUGCAGCAGGGCAGGAUUGUUUGAUCUGGCUCAGACAUCGCUGUGUAAUGCAGGGUACGUUUGUCUGGAAGGAAGCUCUGCUCCCUGUCCUUCU